rnacentral:rRNA from 1 species
UAUCCUACGGGGGGCAGCAGUGAGGAAUAUUGGUCAAUGGGCGAGAGCCUGAACCAGCCAAGUCGCGUGAAGGAUGACGGCCCUACGGGUUGUAAACUUCUUUUGUCAGGGAGCAAUUGAGUCCACGUGUGGGCUUAGCGAGAGUACCUGAAGAAAAAGCAUCGGCUAACUCCGUGCCAGCAGCCGCGGUAAUACGGAGGAUGCGAGCGUUAUCCGGAUUUAUUGGGUUUAAAGGGAGCGUAGAUGGGUUGUUAAGUCAGUUGUGAAAGUUUGCGGCUCAACCGUAAAAUUGCAAUUGAUACUGG